CAAAAAAAAACCAAAAAAUUUCCUUCCCAAACACCGUCAGUUUUUUUAAUUAUUUAUUUUUAUAAACAAUUAAAAAUUAAUUUAGUGAUAAAAUGAAAAAAAUAAAAUGUUCAAAUUGAAAGUGAUAUUUGGUGAUAGUUCAAGUGGGUAAAGUGUAAUUUAUCAUAUUGAUGGAAGGGUAUUUUAGUCAUGAAGGUCCAAAUUGAAAAAAUUUAGUAGAUGAGGGGGGUUAAUUGCUACAAUUUUUAGUUGAGGGAGUAAAGUGUAAUUUAUGAAUAAAAUUAAUAAGUUGAAAAAAUUCACCAAAGGUAAAAAAAUAAAUUAAAAAAAAAAGAAAAAAAAAA